UUACGGAAGGCAGCAGUGGGGAAUAUUGCGCAAUGGGGGCAACCCUGACGCAGCCAUGCCGCGUGUGUGAAGAAGGCCUUCGGGUUGUAAAGCACUUUAAGUGGGGAGAAAGGCUCGUUGGUUAAUAGCCAGCGGGAUUGAUGUUACCCACAGAAUAAGCACCGGCUAACUCCGUGCCAGCAGCCGCGGUAAUACGGAGGGUGCGAGCGUUAAUCGGAAUUACUGGGCGUAAAGCGCGCGUAGGCGGUUUGUUAAGUCAGCUGUGAAAGCCCCGGGCUCAACCUGGGAACUGCAGUUGAUACCGACCGACUAGAGUACGAGAGAGGGAGGUAGAAUUCCAUGUGUAGCGGUGAAAUGCGUAGAUAUAUGGAGGAAUACCGGUGGCGAAGGCGGCCUCCUGGCUCGAUACUGACGCUGAGGUGCGAAAGCGUGGGGAUCAAACAGGAUUAGAUACCCCCGUAGUCCC
rnacentral:rRNA from 1 species